CCUACGGGUGGCAGCAGUGGGGAAUAUUGCGCAAUGGGCGAAAGCCUGACGCCGCGACGCCGCGUGAGGGAUGAAGGUCUUCGGAUCGUAAACCUCUGUCAGCAGGGAAGAACGGUCACUGUGCUAAUCAGCAGUGAAUUGACGGUACCUUCAAAGGAAGCACCGGCUAACUCCGUGCCAGCAGCCGCGGUAAUACGAAGGGUGCGAGCGUUAAUCGGAAUUACUGAGCGUAAAGCGUUCGUAGGCGGUAUGGUAAGUCAAGGGUGAAAUCCCCGCGCUGAACGUGGGAACUGCCUUGGAUACUGGCAAACUAGAGUGUGUGAGAGGAUAGUGGAAUUCCAGGUGUAGGAGUGAAAUCCGUAGAUAUAUGGAGGAACAUCAGUGGCGAAGGCGACUAACUGGGACAUAACUGACGCUGAGGGGCGAAAGCGUGGGUAGCAAACAGGAUUAGAUACCCCGGUAGUC
rnacentral:rRNA from 1 species